rnacentral:lncRNA from 1 species
GAACUGCUGACCAAUUCUCAGUGGCUGCCUGUGCACUCCUCUCUUCUGUGGGGAACUGCUGGAUGGGCACAGAGGGUACCUGCACAGCCUCAGACCAGUCGGCCACCUCAGGCUGAGCAGCAGUGAACUCAGGAGCUGGUGGAGUCCAUUUACCCUGGAAUUCCUCUUUGGUCACAGCCUUCUCAGCAGCAGCCUGCACCUCCUUCUCAAUCUCCUCUGGGUCUCUGUAGAAGUAAAGAUCAGGCAUAACCUCCCAUGGGGGCUCAUGGGAGAUAAUACCUAGUAUGCAGAGUACUUCCCUGGCCAGCAUCCACCACAUCAGACCCACUGAAUGUACUGCUCCAUCUGCAAGUCAAGGUGGUGCCACCUAACUGGGUUCCUGCAGCAAGGAAUUUGAGGACAUCCUCCUUCUUCAUCUGCAGGACGUCAAGGGCUCCGGAUAUUGUCCUCUCAUCUUGAGAUACAUUUCUAAGUCCUCCCUGAAGAACCACAGCCUCUGCAGCAGAGGUCCGCCACCCAGUUUAUUGUCCAGUCCUGUUGGUUUUCAUUCAGAGCACCUGCUGGAUCACUGUUACCAUUUGUAAACGAAGAUUAAAUCUAGCUUCCCCACACUUUCCAUGUUGAAGAAGACUGACCGCUGCAACUAAAGAAUAACACCUGGACUGAGCCAUCCCAGUGGGACUGCUGGAUUCCAUGGUGUGAGAAAACAAGAAGAGCAAGCAUGGUGCACCCA